AGUUGGACUCACCUGUGGAACUAACUGUUGGACCUUUUGGACUGCCUCACCUGCUUCUUGAUUCUUGGAACCUCAGUUCUCUAUUUCCACGUGCCUCCUCCCAAGUUGUCUGCCUCCAGAGUUACUUUCUUGCUGAACCUAGCCUCCCCGGAUCUUGUUCCCUUUGUUGCACAUUUUAGUUUUUUGUUGUUCACCACAUUGUAAAUAAAUCACUUGAAUU